GGGAGAGUGUGGAGUAGCAGGAAAGAUUUCAUCCUUUUCCAGGCACAUAGAUAUGCUGGACUAGCAGAAUUAGAAGAUCUGGGUUAAGAUUUCGGUAUUGCCUCCGGCUUGCUGCAUGACCUGGGGAACAAUCAUUCAUCUUGCUUUUCUUCAUUUUGACCAUCUGUAAAAUGGAAGCAUUGGAUUUUCCCCUCAACAGGCUCCACAAGGAGGUGAUCCCUGAAAAAAAGGUCCUUGGAAGGAAGGUUGUUGAAGAUCCCAGAUUACACAUACUAAUUUAGACAAAAUGGCAGCCUGUGUUCCCCUCCCCAGCAAAAUCAAGAGUCCCCAUUUUCUAAGAAGAGACCAGAGAUGUCCUGGUUUAACUGGUACUGCUUACAGAUGGUUUUCCGCUAGGUUGUGACUCCUGGUUUUAGCCCAAGUACAGAGAGGACUAAAACAAAUCAGUGGAGUGAUUUUGCUCCUUUGCUUUUCUCCUGACUUUCUGAAGAUCAUUCCCCCUCCCCCCCAUCCAAAUAAUCCCUCCUCUUUCCUUUCCUCCUCUCUUCCCCCUCCCCCCCCAACUCCAAGUCAAGGGACCUUCUCAUGCCGUCUGUUCGCCCUUACCUGGACCAGGUGCUCCUGAAGGAAAAUAUGGAUAGCUUCUGUCUUGGAUUUGGACUGGAAAGGAAGAAGGAAGAAGCAGGGGAGGCAGGAUCCAAGAGGAACAGGUUGAAAAGCUUGAACCAACUCUGGAGCAGAAGCUGAGUGCUAACAGGUGCUAAUGCAACAUACCUCUAUGUUAACACUGAAGACAGUCUGUCACUGUGGAAAGAGCACUAGUCUUACACUUAGGAGACCUGAGUUUGAGUCCUGGCUUCCCACUUGCUAUUUGUAUGACUAUGGGUGAGUUACUCCUUCACACCACCA
rnacentral:lncRNA from 1 species